AAUCCUACGGGAGGCAGCAGUGGGGAAUAUUGCACAAUGGGGGAAACCCUGAUGCAGCGACGCCGCGUGAGUGAAGAAGUAUUUCGGUAUGUAAAGCUCUAUCAGCAGGGAAGAAAUACUGACCUUACGGUCAGCAGACGGUACCUGACUAAGAAGCCCCGGCUAACUACGUGCCAGCAGCCGCGGUAAUACGUAGGGGGCAAGCGUUAUCCGGAUUUACUGGGUGGAAAGGGAGCGUAGACGGCAGCGCAAGUCUGAAGUGAAUGCGUAUGGCUUAACCAUG
rnacentral:rRNA from 1 species